AAAGGCAGUGGUAUAGAAAAAGUUACAAAGGAAGAGUGUUUAGAAUAAGAAAAAAGAGAGGAGGAUUGAAUUGUGAAACAAAUAUCAAUAUUUACAGAGAGAGGAAGGAAGAUCAACAGUGGAUAAAAGCCAGAAAGAAUGGUGUCACCGCAGCCAAGGGAAAGGAGAAAACAAAUUCUACGGAGAUUAAGCAAGGACUGAAAAAUAUUAGAAUUUUCAACCAAGAAGACUUUGCCAUAUCCCAGUGACCUGGGGAUCAUAGUUCCAAAGAAGACGUUGGGAUGCAGAUCCAAUUGCUAUGGACCAAAGAAUAAAUGGGACAAGCGGAAGUGGAGAGUUCUCAUUUGGAGAUGAUAUGAAGAUGGUAGGGGAUGUGGUCCCAUCUGCAGUGAAGGAAAACAUCACCAAUUUACAGAGGAAAUCGGAUCACUGGUUAAAGAUUACCCUUCACUGACCAGCCUUACAAAAAAAAGAAAAUUACCCUUCAUGACCCAACCGACAUAACAUAU